UCAGGAUGAACGCUAGCGACAGGCUUAACACAUGCAAGUCGAGGGGCAGCAUAAAAGUAGCAAUACUUGGUGGCGACCGGCGCACGGGUGAGUAACGCGUAUGCAACCUACCUAUCAGAAGGGGAAUAACCCGGCGAAAGUCGGACUAAUACCGCAUAAAACAGGGGCACCGCAUGGUGAUAUUUGUUAAAGAAAUUCGCUGAUAGAUGGGCAUGCGUUCCAUUAGGUAGUUGGUGAGGUAACGGCUCACCAAGCCGACGAUGGAUAGGGGAACUGAGAGGUUGGUCCCCCACACUGGUACUGAGACACGGACCAGACUCCUACGGGAGGCAGCAGUGAGGAAUAUUGGUCAAUGGGCGGGAGCCUGAACCAGCCAAGUCGCGUGGAAAAGGAAGAAGGAUCUAUGGUUCGUAAACUUCUUUUGCAGGGGAAUAAAGUGCAGGACGUGUCCUGUUUUGUAUGUACCCUGAGAAUAAGGAUCGGCUAACUCCGUGCCAGCAGCCGC
rnacentral:rRNA from 1 species